rnacentral:lncRNA from 1 species
CCACCAUCAAAUUCUUUAGAAAAUCACCACCAAUCUAAGUAUUUUCGUCGAGCCUUUUUCUUGAGAUUUCGCUAGAGAAAUCACCGAAUUUCUCAACAUGAGUGUUGUCAAACUAAGGUAAUGCCUUCUUCCUUCUCCUCAAUUUUAAAGUCUCGCCGUCAUUAGAUUAAAUCAUGUAAGUUGCCAGAUUCAUUGUGAACAGGGUCUC